UUGGGGGUUUUUAGAGUUUUGAAUAGGCUCAGGACGAACGCUGGCGGCGUGCUUAACACAUGCAAGUCGAACGAUGAACCACUUCGGUGGGGAUUAGUGGCGAACGGGUGAGUAACACGUGGGCAAUCUGCCCUGCACUCUGGGACAAGCCCUGGAAACGGGGUCUAAUACCGGAUACUGAUCCUCGCAGGCAUCUGCGAGGUUCGAAAGCUCCGGCGGUGCAGGAUGAGCCCGCGGCCUAUCAGCUAGUUGGUGAGGUAACGGCUCACCAAGGCGACGACGGGUAGCCGGCCUGAGAGGGCGACCGGCCACACUGGGACUGAGACACGGCCCAGACUCCUACGGGAGGCAGCAGUGGGGAAUAUUGCACAAUGGGCGAAAGCCUGAUGCAGCGACGCCGCGUGAGGGAUGACGGCCUUCGGGUUGUAAACCUCUUUCAGCAGGGAAGAAGCGAAAGUGACGGUACCUGCAGAAGAAGCGCCGGCUAACUACGUGCCAGCAGCCGCGGUAAUACGUAGGGCGCAAGCGUUGUCCGGAAUUAUUGGGCGUAAAGAGCUCGUAGGCGGCUUGUCACGUCGGUUGUGAAAGCCCGGGGCUUAACCCCGGGUCUGCAGUCGAUACGGGCAGGCUAGAGUUCGGUAGGGGAGAUCGGAAUUCCUGGUGUAGCGGUGAAAUGCGCAGAUAUCAGGAGGAACACCGGUGGCGAAGGCGGAUCUCUGGGCCGAUACUGACGCUGAGGAAGCGAAAGGAGGG
rnacentral:rRNA from 1 species